AUUGAACGCUGGCGGCAUGCCUUACACAUGCAUGUCGAACGGUAACGCGGGGCAACCUGGCGACGAGUGGCGAACGGGUGAGUAAUGUAUCGGAACGUGCCCAGUUGUGGGGGAUAACUGCUCGAAAGAGCAGCUAAUACCGCAUACGACCUGAGGGUGAAAGCGGGGGAUCGCAAGACCUCGCGCAAUUGGAGCGGCCGAUAUCAGAUUAGGUAGUUGGUGGGGUAAAGGCUCACCAAGCCAACGAUCUGUAGCUGGUCUGAGAGGACGACCAGCCACACUGGGACUGAGACACGGCCCAGACUCCUACGGGAGGCAGCAGUGGGGAAUUUUGGACAAUGGACGCAAGUCUGAUCCAGCCAUGCCGCGUGCGGGAAGAAGGCCUUCGGGUUGUAAACCGCUUUUGUCAGGGAAGAAACGCUCUGGGUUAAUACCUCGGGGUAAUGACGGUACCUGAAGAAUAAGCACCGGCUAACUACGUGCCAGCCGCCGCGGUAAUAC
rnacentral:rRNA from 1 species